AUGCUGAGAUGGAGAAGGUUCUGUCGCCACUCCCACAUCAUUGAGCAGCUGUAUCCCUUCUACAAGGCCCAGGUAUCAAACCUGGUCAGUGAGUAUGAGGAUGCUGUCCAGCGGGCCAGGAGACUGGCUGUGUCCAGGGAGAAGGUCCUGACAGGGCGGGGCAACCCCAUCAACACGGUCACCCAGGAAGAUGUGACCAUCUACCUCACCUGGCUGGUCUGUCACCUACAUGCCUCCAAGACCAUCCACCACUUCCUGACAGUAAGGCCAUCAGAGAGACUAUGGGCGAUGUUUUUAUAGCGCAAAAGUAAUGUGUUAAGUGCAAAAUUGACCGUAAACCUCAUUGUAAUCUGGCACUGUGAAAUAAUUUUAACAAUGUGCAUUAUAAGGAGGAGAUUAAGCAAUAUUUCUUUGUUGAAAUGCACAUUGUUGAAAAAAGUUUCAAAUUAAAUCUCGUUGCCAGAUUACAAUGAGGUUUAUGGUACAAUUUUCACUUAACACAUUGCUUUUUCACUACGUUGCCCUAUAAGUAUGUCCCAAAUCGAAACUUUUUCCCUAUAUAGUGCACUACUUUUGACCAAGGCUUAUAGGACUCUGGUCAAAAGUAGUGCUCCAUAUAGGGAAGAAGGUACCAUUCAGGGUGCAUCCUAUGGCUGCAUCGCAAUGGUCUAAAGUGGCUUCCUCUACUCGUCUCCUCUCCUUCAUUGCCAUGUAGCUGAAAUCAAAGGCUAGUUUAGAUUAGAGCAGAUAAAUAAAAAGAGACAAGGAGAGGAAGUCACUUUAGACUACUGAGAUGCACCCCAAAGCUUAGUUGACUUUUGGGAUGGGUGGAUGAAUACCUUCUAAUAGAUUUAUUUAGAAAUAAGACAGUUUGUUACCUCACACUAUAUGAUGGGUUACAGGUGAUCCACUACAUCCCAGCCUCUGAGAAGAGGGAUAAAGAUUCUUCUGAGUUAUUAAGGAAGUCCCAAUCAAGUUCCCCAGUGCUGGUUGAAUCUGUCCACACAUCUUCAGAAGAUAAAGACCAAGUCUUGGCUGGGCUUGAGGGUAACACUAACAUUGACUGCUACCUUAUUGUACCUCUACAUUUAAAUGUCUUACUUGAACCGGAUAUAACAAUACAUGUGGGUACAAAAGAGAUUCAUUCAUGCUCAUGAUCGU
rnacentral:lncRNA from 1 species